rnacentral:rRNA from 1 species
AUUGAACGCUGGCGGCAGGCCUAACACAUGCCAGUCGAGCGAGCGGCGGACGGGUGAGUAAUGUCUGGGGAACUGCCUGAUGGAGGGGGAUAACUACUGGAAACGGUAGCUAAUACCGCAUACCAUCAGAUGUUCCCAGAUGGGAUUAGCUAGUAGGUGGGGUAAUGGCUCACCUAGGCGACGAUCCCUAGCUGGUCUGAGAGGAUGACCAGCCACACUGGAACUGAGACACGGUCCAGACUCCUACGGGAGGACGCAGGGGGGAAUAUUGAACAAUGGGCGCAAGCCUGAUGCAGCUAUGCCGAGUGUGUGAAGAAGGCCUUCGGGUUGUAAAGCACUUUCAGCGGGGAGGCGGUACCCGCAGAAGAAGCACCGGCUAACUCCGUGCCAGCAGCCGCGGUAAUAC